GACGUAGGAUGCAAGCGUUAUCCGGAUUCAUUGGGUUUAAAGGGCGCGUAGGCGGCCUUGUAAGUCAGUGGUGAAAUCUCGCAGCUUAACUGCGAAACUGCCAUUGAUACUGCAGGGCUUGAGUACAGAUGCUGUGGGCGGAAUAUGACAUGUAGUGGUGAAAUACAUAGAGAUGUCAUAGAACACCGAUUGCGAAGGCAGCUCACAAAACUGUAACUGACGCUGAGGCUCGAAAGUGUGGGGAUCAAACAGG
rnacentral:rRNA from 1 species